ACGGUCCUGGGAAUACCGGGUUGAGCCGGGCUUUGGGUCGGGAAACACUUCCGUGAUGGCCGGGUCCAACCGCUAACCCGGCGCUGCCAGGCCCGCCACCCAAACAUCCAGUGGACACAAAAGGAUGCAGAAUUUACAAGCCACCAGAACGUUUGGCAGAACUCCUGAGGUAAGGAUGGAAUUACCAAAACCAACUCUGCAGCUGUGCUGGAAUUGGCUGGAGCUGGGUAAAAGAUGAAAAGCCUUGAAGCUAAGCUCUGGAACGUCACUCCUGCAAAAGAUGUAGGAAUGGCAGGCUCCGAUGCAUUGAGAUGAAAGAUGUCUGCUGACCUUAGAUGCUUCUUACAAAACUGAAGAAAAAUUUGAUCAACCCUCUCGCUUUUUCUGGGACUUGGUAAUGGUCCUGAGACAGAGAACCAUGAAACCUGAUUGCAAACUGCAUGUAUCAAGAGAUACAUCUAACACUGCAGUACCUGCAAUGUCACUGUGAUUCCUCUCCUUAGUUAGCUGGUUCCUCAGACUCUCACAAGUCUGGAUUCUUUGUGUAUUCACAAUCAUUAUAUUAAAAAUUUCAGUUUCCUCGCUA